rnacentral:rRNA from 1 species
GACGAACGCUGGCGGCGUGCCUAAUACAUGCAAGUAGAACGCUGAAGAGAGGAGCUUGCUCUUCUUGGAUGAGUUGCGAACGGGUGAGUAACGCGUAGGUAACCUGCCUUGUAGCGGGGGAUAACUAUUGGAAACGAUAGCUAAUACCGCAUAACAAUGGAUGACACAUGUCAUUUAUUUGAAAGGGGCAAUUGCUCCACUACAAGAUGGACCUGCGUUGUAUUAGCUAGUAGGUGAGGUAACGGCUCACCUAGGCGACGAUACAUAGCCGACCUGAGAGGGUGAUCGGCCACACUGGGACUGAGACACGGCCCAGACUCCUACGGGAGGCAGCAGUAGGGAAUCUUCGGCAAUGGGGGCAACCCUGACCGAGCAACGCCGCGUGAGUGAAGAAGGUUUUCGGAUCGUANAGCUCUGUUGUAAGUCAAGAACGAGUGUGAGAGUGGAAAGUUCACACUGUGACGGUAGCUUACCAGAAAGGGACGGCUAACUACGUGCCAGCAGCCGCGGUAAUACGUAGGUCCCGAGCGUUGUCCGGAUUUAUUGGGCGUNAAGCGAGCGCAGGCGGUUUGAUAAGUCUGAAGUUAAAGGCUGUGGCUCAACCAUAGUUUGCUUUGGAAACUGUCAAACUUGAGUGCAGAAGGGGAGAGUGGAAUUCCAUGUGUAGCGGUGAAAUGCGUAGAUAUAUGGAGGAACACCGGUGGCGAAAGCGGCUCUCUGGUCUGUAACUGACGCUGAGGCUCGAAAGCGUGGGGAGCGAACAGGAUUAGAUACCCUGGUAGUCCACGCCGUAAACGAUGAGUGCUAGGUGUUGGAUCCUUUCCGGGAUUCAGUGCCGCAGCUAACGCAUUAAGCACUCCGCCUGGGGAGUACGACCGCAAGGUUGAAACUCAAAGGAAUUGACGGGGGCCCGCACAAGCGGUGGAGCAUGUGGUUUAAUUCGAAGCAACGCGAAGAACCUUACCAGGUCUUGACAUCCCGAUGCUAUUUCUAGAGAUAGAAAGUUACUUCGGUACAUCGGUGACAGGUGGUGCAUGGUUGUCGUCAGCUCGUGUCGUGAGAUGUUGGGUUAAGUCCCGCAACGAGCGCAACCCCUAUUGUUAGUUGCCAUCAUUCAGUUGGGCACUCUAGCGAGACUGCCGGUAAUAAACCGGAGGAAGGUGGGGAUGACGUCAAAUCAUCAUGCCCCUUAUGACCUGGGCUACACACGUGCUACAAUGGUUGGUACAACGAGUUGCAAGUCGGUGACGGCAAGCUAAUCUCUUAAAGCCAAUCUCAGUUCGGAUUGUAGGCUGCAACUCGCCUACAUGAAGUCGGAAUCGCUAGUAAUCGCGGAUCAGCACGCCGCGGUGAAUACGUUCCCGGGCCU